AAUUGAUUAGCUCAGUUGGUUAGAGCAUGGUGUUAAUAACACCAAGGUUGCAGGUUUGAUGCCUGUAUGGACCA